ensembl:lncRNA
GUAAAUAUUGCUUGAGCCCUUACUUUGUGUCAGACUGUGUCCCAGGCCCUGGGGGAUGCAAUGAUAAGCAAAACCAGAUUAGGUCCUGCCUUUGUGGAGUUUAGUGUCUUUUGGAGGAGACAGACGCAAUCAAAUAGCACAAAUGUACACGAGUACUUACAAACUGUGGUGAGGGGGAGGGAGCACAGGGAGAGCUUGUGACACAGGACCUGGCUGGUCUAGGGAGCCAGAGGAGGCACUGGGGAAAGGUGAGUGUCAUUUGAAUUGAGAUGUGAAGAAUGAAUUGGCGUUAGGCGAAAAGUGGUGACUGGAGAGCAUUUGAGACAGAGGUGCUGGUUAGGACUUGGAGACCUACAUCCAGGGAGCUGGGGCGGAGCACACAGCAAAGGUGGGGUAGGCUAGGAUAAGAAUUUGUUUAGGAGUUCUCCUAAGAAUGAUGGGAAUCCAAGGUCGAGUUUUAAGCUUGGGGCUGGGGCGGUAGGGUGGGCCCAGGGCUGGUGACAAGAUCAGAUCUGAAUUUUGAAAAGGCCUCUCUGGCAGCAGAAUAGAGGAUUACAGAGAACAAGAGUCAUGGCAGGAAGAUCUAUCAGAGAUUUGGUACUUUGAACAUUUCUCUUCACCUGGGAAUAGAACUAAUGCUCCUACCAACCCCAUGAAGUAGGUGCUGCCACCUCUAAUACAGACGCACAUGAUGUCCCACGCAGUUGUGAUUUAUCCCAGGUCACACAGCAGCAGAGCUGAGGCUGGAAUGCAAGACUCCUGCAUUCAAGGCCAGUGUCUCUCUACCAAACCCAGGAAUCUGAACGUCCUUGGAUAGGAAGAGUCCGUGGGUAUUUCCUGCUUUACCUUCUGUGAACUUGGGCGAGGUACCGCACACUGAGGACCAGGCAGGUUGGAGCUCAGCAGACGGGAAGGUUCUUUCCAGAUCUAGAUUCUGAAGUUCUCUGACGUGACCUCUUCAGGCAGUGUUUACUCUGCAGGUUUUUCUCUCGCCACCACUUUCUGUGGCCCUGCCUCCCCGCUGUACGGGAAGUAAUGUGAGGACAAGAACUGAGUCCUGAGCACCUCCUGCUGCAGCACCCACCCCAACCCCCCCGCCCCGGCCAGGGAAAGCUACUUCUGACGGUAGUACCCAAAAUAAUAUGCUGCUUCUCUGUUGUUAAUUUUGAAGGCAAGACGCUUAUUAUUUAUUAGUCAUUCCGAGACAGCCUAUUUAGAGCACUUAUUGCCUAUUUUGCAAACACACUUGAGUGAUAUGUACAUAUUGUGGUGUUUGACCCUGUAAAUAAGAGUUUAUUAUUAUCCUCAACUGCUCACACUGCCAUAUAAAAAAGUGACAUUAAUAUCUUACAUUUUCCCUCACUGUGGUUAAUGCUAACUAGCAAUCUAUGUUAACCAUUUUCAGACUGUCCUCAUGGGGAGCGAGAAAAAGAACGUCUUAUGCUAUUUGUGAGUGGAAAAUGGCAGACAGUCUAAGGAAAGACAAAUGGUUAAAGUUCGAGUGCUUUUUCCAUUUUCAGAUGUGUGGAACCCCUGUGGAGAUCCUUGUUGGGCAUAGGAGCGGGAGUAACCAAUCUUUGGUGUGCUGGAACUGAUUUUAUACAAACCUGUAAUACUGCCCACACUUGGUUUCAGCAUGAGAUGUCCAGACAGCCUUCUGUGGACUGUGGCCGUGGAAAACCAUCUGCUGAGAUGAGCAAAUCCAGAGUCUACUAAAUACCAGCAAUUGUCCUGCCGAGAACAGUUCUGUGCUCUGUGGGGAUGGGUGAUGCGAGUCAAGGAAAUUAUAGGCUGCCCAGCCACCAGACCUUCUGAAAAGAUUAUGGGGUGACUUACUGAUCUUUAGGUGGGUCAGGGGUUUUGAGGGAAGCUUAGAUUUAAAGCAUGUAGUUAGAGUUGAAAAGACUGGGUUUGGAAUCUCAGAGUUCAAGAGACCAGGCCUGGAGUCUCAGAGAGAUACAGGGUGGAAAGAGCUCCAGGCAAAAAUCUGGGCUCUAGUCCUGGUCCUGACACAGCGGGUGGGUGGACCCCCUCAGAGCCUCUGCACGGCAGCUGGGGCAGCCCCUCCGUCUUACAGAGUAGAAAAGCGCAGCUCAGCAAGCACAGGGGCUUGCUCGAGUCCUCCAGAUGAUUGGAGUGAGAACCAGGACUACAACUCACACGUUUUGAUGUCCCGGCCAGGAUGCUUUCUAAUACUUGAAAUCAUCGAAGUUCAGUACUCCUCUGUCAAAUUUUCUCUUCUUCUUUGGCAGCUUUCCUGGAGCUUCAGAUAUGCUACUUUUAAUACAUUUCAUAUGUAAUGAUGGAGGUGUAACUAGAGACAACCACAAAAAAAGUCAAUACAAGAGAAGGAGUUUGGGAGGUUUCGGUGUGAGUAUUGACCUUUGCCCCUCGUUCUGGGUUGAAGUGUGUUGCUCCCCCAAGUUCAUGUGUUGAACUCUCAACCUUCAGCACCUCAGAAUGUGACCUUAUUUGGAAAUAGGGUCACUGCACAUGUGAUGAGUUAAGAUGAAGUCAUACUGCAGCGGGUGGUCCCCAAUCCCACGUGACUAGUGUCCUUAGAAAGAGAGAAACCUGGACACAGACUCGCACACAGGGAGCACGUCGUGUGAAGAUGAAGGCACAGAUCCGGGUGGUAUUCCUAUGCGCCAAAGGUGGCCAGUAAACCACCGGACGCCAGGAGAGAGCCUGGAACAGAUUCUCCCUCACAUCCUCAGAGGGAAACAAUCCUGCUGGCACCUCGGUUUUGGACUGCUGGCCUCCAGAACUGUGCAACAAGUUUCUGCUGUUUAAGGCACCCGGUCUGUGGUGCUUGGUUGGAGCAGCCCCAGCAGACGCACGUGCUCUCCUCACCUGGUGCCCUUCUCAGAUGAGCACCGCGCUGGUUGUCCAUCGUGUGGUCUUUGUCAGCUUUUUCUCCUACCCAUGUAUUUAAUGCUCUUGAAAAUAUUUUUCUUAGUACUGAAAAGAGCUUGGUAACGGGGAAAAAACUUAGGGAAAAAGUAAGCAUCCAAUUUAAUUUUAAAGACUUUUAGUUUUAGGUUUUUUUGGACACAGAAUGAAAAACAUUCUCUAAAGCAAUUUCUUUAACAAUUUUGUCAAGGACUUUAUUGGCAUUCUCCUGUUUAGCCUACAGACCUAGGGUCAUUUAUCCAUCAAUUUGGUCCCAGAGUUUAUAUUACCUGUGAGAUUUGUGUCAAACUCUCCCUAACAGACAAUGAACUCCUUUUUUUUUGCCCUGAUUACUGCCCUCCCUUCCUAGCCAUGUCAGAAGCGCUCCCAGAGCACCAGGAUCAUUUGUUCUGUAGAGUAGCUGCUAAAAGUUCCCACCUCUUGUGGUGGAUCCCUUCAAGGUCCACUCUCCUAGUGAUGUCCUUGGCCUGAGCUGACCAGUCAGAAGCCAUGUCACAGACAGUCGAGCUGCCCUCUGCAGUCAAGUCCUCACAGGGGUGGCCUGGCAGGGGACCAUCACACGCGUCAGGGCUAUGCUUGCCUUUGUAGAUCCUGAAACUUAGCUUUGUCCCCUCGUUCAGAACUGUUCUAACUGCUUUGUGAGAAUGAAACUCUUAGCAAAAGGACAUGUGAGCCUGCAUGUCAAGAGGUGUGUAUCUGCCUGAGAAUUGGGGUAUCCACGCCGCUAGUGCCGAUGCUGCGUAGCAAGAGCUGGGUCGGAACAAAGGGAGCUGGUGCCUCUGAGAAAGUCUCAUGACCACUCCUGCCCCACAAAGCCGUUAAGUCCUCAUAUUCUGCACAGACCAGCUUACAUCUGUUACCAAAUUCUCCAGACAGGGUCAAAUACAAUUGAUCAGGUUAAAGCUUUCCGUUAGAUUAAUUAUACAGUUAACUAUAUAAAAUUGCCAUUUUUGUGGGUCAAAAACAGCCCGGUGUUGACAAGUUCACAUAGUUCGACCUAAUAGGUUUUUAAACUUUUAAUUUUAAUUUAAUUAUAGAUGAGCAAGAAGUUGCAAAAAUAGAAGUCCCAUGUCCCCAUCACCCAGCUUCCCCCAGUGGUGGCAUCUUACAUGAUAUGGCUCUCUAUCAAAACCAGGACGCUGACGUUGGCACUGUGCACUUGACGAGUUUACAGGUCGUACUUGGAUUUCCCCAACCUAAUAGCUUAGGGGGCUGCUCCGAGUUACUUCCACGGUGACACAUUUAACAAUCUUUC